CAGCCGCCACGGUAAUACGAAGGGGGCUAGCGUUGUUCGGAAUUACUGGGCGUAAAGCGCACGUAGGCGGAUAUUUAAGUCAGGGGUGAAAUCCCAGAGCUCAACUCUGGAACUGCCUUUGAUACUGGGUAUCUUGAGUAUGGAAGAGGUGAGUGGAAUUCCGAGUGUAGAGGUGAAAUUCGUAGAUAUUCGGAGGAACACCAGUGGCGAAGGCGGCUCACUGGUCCAUUACUGACGCUGAGGUGCGAAAGCGUGGGGAGCAAACAGGAUUAGAUACCCCCGUAGUCCCUGUCUCUUAUAC
rnacentral:rRNA from 1 species